AUACGUAGGUGACAAGCGUUAUCCGGAUUUACUGGGCGUAAAGGGCGUGUAGGCGGUCUUGCAAGUCAGAAGUGAAAUUCCUGAGCUCAACUCGGGCGCUGCUUCUGAAACUGCAGGACUUGAGUGCUGGAGGGGAUAGCGGAAUUCCUAGUGGAGCGGUAAAAUGCGCAGAUAUUAGGAAGAACACCGGUGGCGAAGGGGGCUAUCUGGACAGUAACUGACGCUGAGGCACGAAAGCUUGGGGAGCAAAUAGGAUUAGAUACCCGGGUAGUCCACACUGUAAACGAUGAAUGCUAGGUGUAAGAGGUAGCGACCCCUGUUGUGCCGGAGUCAACACAAUAAGCAUUCCGCCUGGGGAGUACGGCCGCAAGGUUGAAACUCAAAUGAAUUGACGGGG
rnacentral:rRNA from 1 species